rnacentral:rRNA from 2 species
UAUUGAUUGGUGCUUGCAUCAUGAUUUACAUUUGAGUGAGUGGCGAACUGGUGAGUAACACGUGGGAAACCUGCCCAGAAGCGGGGGAUAACACCUGGAAACAGAUGCUAAUACCGCAUAACAACUUGGACCGCAUGGUCCGAGUUUGAAAGAUGGCUUCGGCUAUCACUUUUGGAUGGUCCCGCGGCGUAUUAGCUAGAUGGUGGGGUAACGGCUCACCAUGGCAAUGAUACGUAGCCGACCUGAGAGGGUAAUCGGCCACAUUGGGACUGAGACACGGCCCAAACUCCUACGGGAGGCAGCAGUAGGGAAUCUUCCACAAUGGACGAAAGUCUGAUGGAGCAACGCCGCGUGAGUGAAGAAGGGUUUCGGCUCGUAAAACUCUGUUGUUAAAGAAGAACAUAUCUGAGAGUAACUGUUCAGGUAUUGACGGUAUUUAACCAGAAAGCCACGGCUAACUACGUGCCAGCAGCCGCGGUAAUACGUAGGUGGCAAGCGUUGUCCGGAUUUAUUGGGCGUAAAGCGAGCGCAGGCGGUUUUUUAAGUCUGAUGUGAAAGCCUUCGGCUCAACCGAAGAAGUGCAUCGGAAACUGGGAAACUUGAGUGCAGAAGAGGACAGUGGAACUCCAUGUGUAGCGGUGAAAUGCGUAGAUAUAUGGAAGAACACCAGUGGCGAAGGCGGCUGUCUGGUCUGUAACUGACGCUGAGGCUCGAAAGUAUGGGUAGCAAACAGGAUUAGAUACCCUGGUAGUCCAUACCGUAAACGAUGAAUGCUAAGUGUUGGAGGGUUUCCGCCCUUCAGUGCUGCAGCUAACGCAUUAAGCAUUCCGCCUGGGGAGUACGGCCGCAAGGCUGAAACUCAAAGGAAUUGACGGGGGCCCGCACAAGCGGUGGAGCAUGUGGUUUAAUUCGAAGCUACGCGAAGAACCUUACCAGGUCUUGACAUACUAUGCAAAUCUAAGAGAUUAGACGUUCCCUUCGGGGACAUGGAUACAGGUGGUGCAUGGUUGUCGUCAGCUCGUGUCGUGAGAUGUUGGGUUAAGUCCCGCAACGAGCGCAACCCUUAUUAUCAGUUGCCAGCAUUAAGUUGGGCACUCUGGUGAGACUGCCGGUGACAAACCGGAGGAAGGUGGGGAUGACGUCAAAUCAUCAUGCCCCUUAUGACCUGGGCUACACACGUGCUACAAUGGAUGGUACAACGAGUUGCGAACUCGCGAGAGUAAGCUAAUCUCUUAAAGCCAUUCUCAGUUCGGAUUGUAGGCUGCAACUCGCCUACAUGAAGUCGGAAUCGCUAGUAAUCGCGGAUCAGCAUGCCGCGGUGAAUACGUUCCCGGGCCUUGUACACACCGCCCGUCACACCAUGAGAGUUUGUAACACCCAAAGUCGGUGGGGUAACCUUUUAGGAACCAGC